CUUGUUCUUAUCCUGGGUGUUUUAGCUCAAGCAGAAAUCAAUGCAGGGUUUUCUGCCUGCCACCUGCUUCUUUUGUUUCCAGUCAAGCAAAACAAGGGGCUUAUCUCCCUCACAGAUCAACAUAUGAGAUAUGCUUCAGAUAUGUUUGCCUGUCAGACUCAUAAACACAACAAGAUAUGCCAGCUGCAAUGGAAGAGAAGCCCUGUUUCAGUUCGUGGAUGACAGACUGAAACAUCCAUCAGCAUCAAGACAAACAGCUUCCAACUACUGUCCUUGAUGUCCAGCCUAAGAGAGUCGAGGAAUGUGAUCAAGGAACACUGGAUUCCCAAGGUCUGCUCAGGUUUCCUUCCAUAACAAGAAGUAGCCAAAUACGGCUGAACAGACCUGAAUCUAAUUCAAAUGCUAUCCGUCUGAAGAAUACUCAGUGUAUCAGGGACCUAUACACCAAAAAUGUAGUGUCGAAAGAAAAAAGCAAGAUGUGAACAGUGCAAAUAGCAUUGUACUAUGUAAGUAAAUUGAAUAAACUACAUAAAAGAG